ACCUUUUCAGGAGGUAAUUUUAAUUCACGAUCAACAGCUAAUGAUUGUGCUGCAAAUGCUUCAUUUAAU
rnacentral:sRNA from 1 species